rnacentral:sRNA from 1 species
GCCUGGCACGGUGGCGCAUGCCUGUAAUCCCAGCAGCUCCGGAGGCUGAGGCAGGAGGAUGGUGAGUUCAAAGCCAGCCUCAG